AUGAUCCAAAUUGGAUACUCCUGGGGCUUAUCUGUACCUUUUUUCCCAAAGGGUGAUGAGACGCCCGGAAUAGCAAAACUGCCACUGUCACUGCGAUGCAUCAUCCAUGGCCAGUUCCGGACUCGCCGUACCGGAGGAAGCUACGCGGAAGGCUCCAGCCAAAGCAGCUCUAUUUGCACAAGGCUCGACCUUGGGGAACAAUACGUGUUUCGUCUGCUCAGUCCUCCUGCGCUGCUACAAGCACCGCCAUCGCCAGUUGCCAAUGCCACCCAUCCCAUCCCAUCCCACCAGCGCGCGCACGGGCCGAGACCGGCAAUGGCGGGCUCGACGCCUCCCUUCCUCCUCCUCCUCCUCUUCGUCCUCGUCGCCGCCGCGGCGGCCUCGGAGGAUCGCCCGCGCGUCACCCCCACCUUGAUCCAGUGCCACCCGGCGCAAGCGCAGGCAACCGCCAACGCCAGCAGCGCCAAGAACGCCACGGCGGCCUCGGAGGAUCGCCCGCGCGUCACCCCCACCUUGAUCCAGUGCCACCCGGCGCAAGCGCAGGCAACCGCCAACGCCAGCAGCGCCAAGAACGCCACGGCGUUCCGCGCCGACGUGGUCUCCCUCCUCCGCGCCCUCCCCUCCGCCGCCGCGCCCACGGGCUUCGCCUCCCUGCGGUCCGACGGAGUGGUCGGAUGGGACCGCGCGUUCGCCCGUGGGCUCUGCUUCGGGUACGCCACGCCGUCCCAGUGCCGCGAGUGCCUGUCCGUCACGGCCAGGAAGCUCACCGACGCCUGCGGCGCCCACGGCCGGCGCACCGGCGUCUGGACGGACGGCUGCUUUGCGUCCUACGCCGACGCAAACGCCUCUUCGCCGAACCACGACGGAUUCCGCGCGCGCGUCAUCUCCGGCGCCGACCCUCUCGCCAGCGCCUCGUCGGCCGAGCUGCAGAGCCUCGCCGACCUGGCGGGGCACAUGGGGCCGGUCGCGGCCACCAACGCGAGGAUGCAGGUGGCCGCGGACUGGACCGCCGCGGCGAGCGACUACAAGAAGAAGAGCACGGUGCACGUGCUGGCGCAGUGCGCGCGGGACCGCACGUUGGAGGAGUGCGCCUGGUGCGUCCAGUACUCGGCGCGGGUGGCGGAGACCUGCGCGCGGUCCUGGUGCCCCCGGCAGUCGGCGCGGGCGGGGGACACCUGCUGCUGGGGCCUCGACGCGUGGCGCGAUGGCGUGGCGGCCGCCGUCGUCGGCUUCGACUGCUACCUGCGCUUCGACGUCGCCGUCGCCACCGCCACCGCCGCUGCGCCGGCGCGGGUGCCCCUGCCACAAAGGCUCGGGAAGUUGAGCCCCAAGGCGUUCGGUAUACUCGGCGGCGGGCUGGCCGUGGCCGCUUCCUACGUGCUAAUUUAG
rnacentral:rRNA from 1 species